rfam:Cicer arietinum chromosome Ca5, whole genome shotgun sequence.
GGAAUGCAAGUAUGAUGAUUCAAUUAGAUGUGUGAAAGGAGAAAUCCUUUUUGAACUCAAUUUAUUUGAGGCAUUUGAUUUUGUCUGACUUGCUUACC